rnacentral:rRNA from 1 species
AUACAAGUGGUAGAGAAGCGAAAGCGGACGACCCUUCGGGGAGCUUGUACAGGUGCUGCAUGGCUGUCGUCAGCUCGUGUCGUGAGAGUGUUCGGUUAAGUCCGCUAACGAGCGCAACCCUCGCUGUGUGUUACAAGUGUCACACGGAACUGCCGGUCAUAAACGGAGGAAGGUGGGAUGACGUCAAGUCAGCAUGGCCUUUAUAUCCUGGGGCUACACACACGCUACAAUGGGAAGGGACAAUAGGUUGCGAAGCCGCGAGGCGGAGCCAAUCCAGCAAAACUUCCCUCAGUUCAGAUUGCAGGCUGCAACUCGCCUGCAUGAAGUUGGAGUUGCUAGUAAACGCAGGUCAGCCAUACUGCGUUGAAUACGUUCCCGGGGCUU